rnacentral:lncRNA from 1 species
CUGGGCAUAAGGUCUGUGUUGUUUGAUAUUUCCCUGCCUCUUUCUACCUCUCAGAGCAGUGGACUGGCUGAGGAACAGGUGGUAGGGAGAUAAAUCAUUCUUUCCAAAUACAAGCCAGAUGGUCCCAGUCCCUAACACGUGCAUGGCUUGACUCUUUUUGAUUCCUGACCCAUUUUGACAUAACAUUCUACUUGUUUGUCAGGUUCUGCUUGAAAUAGAAUCAUCAUGGGGCCAUACUGAAUUGUGCAUAGCAGAUCACGCAGUGCUGUAUCUGCAAUCAUCCUGGCUGGGACUGCUGCAGAAUCAUCAAGAAGUGGUGCUUUGAAAAAAUUCAGAAAAGAGGUAGGAUACUGCUUGGGUAGUGGACAUAGAAUUCCAACAGCAGCUUUGCUCAUGAAUUGCUUUCAUACCUUCUAUUUGAUCUGCAACUCAGGAGAACACUGAUCUCAGGUGUGGUGGGCUCCAUCAUCAGCUCCAGGGUCUCUCUCAUCUUAGGCAGAACUGACCUACCAUCUGUUAGAAAUAUUUUGAAAGGUUUAGUUUUUUAGGAGUUUGUAUUCCUUCUACUAGAGCAGACUUACAGAUGAAUUUUGGAAUCUGAGUGCCUGGUUUCAAAUCCUAGCUCUAUUUACUUAGACCUUGGGAAAAUUUCUUAUGCUCUGAGGCCUCCAUUUCUCUAUCAGUAAAAUAGGAAUAAUAACAGUGCCUAUCCUCAUGGGAUUAAUUAAGUUGCAAAGUGCUUAUGUGUAGAUUACAGUGCUUUGAUCAUGUGAUUAUGCAAUGC